rnacentral:rRNA from 1 species
CAAACGACUCUCGGCAACGGAUAUCUCGGCUCACGCAUCGAUGAAGAACGUAGCAAAAUGCGAUACUUGGUGUGAAUUGCAGAAUCCCGUGAACCAUCGAGUUUUUGAACGCAAGUUGCGCUCGAAGCCUUUUGGCCAAGGGCACGUCUGCCUGGGCGUCACAC